CCUACGGGUGGCAGCAGUGGGGAAUAUUGGACAAUGGGGGCAACCCUGAUCCAGCCAUGCCGCGUGUGUGAAGAAGGCCCUCGGGUUGUAAAGCACUUUCAGUGAGGAAGAACGCCUGGUGGUUAAUACCCAUCAGGAAAGACAUCACUCACAGAAGAAGCACCGGCUAACUCCGUGCCAGCAGCCGCGGUAAUACGGAGGGUGCGAGCGUUAAUCGGAAUUACUGGGCGUAAAGCGCGCGUAGGUGGCUUGAUAAGCCGGUUGUGAAAGCCCCGGGCUCAACCUGGGAACGGCAUCCGGAACUGUCAAGCUAGAGUGUAGGAGAGGAAGGUAGAAUUCCCGGUGUAGCGGUGAAAUGCGUAGAGAUCGGGAGGAAUACCAGUGGCGAAGGCGGCCUUCUGGACUGACACUGACACUGAGGUGCGAAAGCGUGGGUAGCAAACAGGAUUAGAUACCCUUGUAGUC
rnacentral:rRNA from 1 species